CCCAUAUGCAAAAACAGCAAGCUGAGAAAAACGCAUUUGAAGUUUGUCCCAUACAUAAAGCUGUUAAGUUUUCACGAAAAAACUGGAUUUCCUCCUGAUUUCUAGAACAAAGUACUGGAUGUUAUAGGCUCUUUUGAAAGAGCACACAAUUUUGAACCAAACUGCAUCAAUAACUCGAAAUCGAUGAAAAUGCAUAUGGGACAUUUAUGCGAUCAGGGGCAGUGCAGGCUUUUUAGGAUUUUUUUUUUAGAUUGAAGUAAGAAAACGCAUUUAAAUCGUAUUGCAUUUUUCACAUCCAAAUGAAAAUUAAAAAUCUUUCAUAUAAAAAACACAUUAAAAAUUGAAGAAGUGAACAUUUUUUGACUCAUCUUUGAUUUGCCAACCAUUUCAAGUAAUUUGUAUCCGGCAGCUCCUUAUGAACGGAUCCACCGUAAAACGAUGGAACAUAAACUCAGGAUUCUCCACCCACGCCCAACCGCAAAUUUUAACAGCCAAAUUCAAAAAAAAAAUCUGCGAGGAAAAACUAAACAACAUUUCAACCAAAGAAAAAGUCAUCCGCAUGCUUGAGCACUGAGUUGAAAAACAUCAUCAAGAAAAUUUGAAUUGUCAAGCUAUCUGAAUCACAGAUUGCUUGAUAUUUGUUUUCGAACACGAAUUUUCUUACAAAAAACAGAAGAAGAAUACAAACGUAAACACUCAAAAAGAAGACUUUAUCCAGCCGUCCCGUCCCAGUUCCAGAUAACACAGAUCUGUGUUUAAAAAUAUCACAGUUUGUAGAACAUGUUCUAGCUGUCAAAACUGUGUAGUUUUAUAACACAGAUCUGUGUAAAAAGUUACACAGAUUUCCGAUCAGCUUUCCUUUCAAAUCUGGGUAAAAAAGGAAAAGCUAAUAUGGCGUCGCUCUUGCAGCAAACUUUUACUUAUCAACAAACUGAUCAUCAUAUGCACCGUAAACCCAUGGGGAGCAGUGCUCGUAUUUGAAUUCAAGUUGUCUCACACACACUGAAUUCCUCCGACGUGGUGCUUUAACGGAACCUCGGAAGUCCAGAGCCCCGGAACUCGAGCCCGCGCUAACCAUUUUCCCAGUUCCGGUUCCGAGCGGAGAGUUCCAUAGACAGCACUAGUAAACGGACACUGUCAGCUUUUCCGGGCCGGGGUAGUACGCUGAGUGGUCAAAUAUUUAGUUUAUGUUGUCUUAUGUAUAAAACCCAAAACAAAGAUUAAUAAAUGAUAUUAUAUUUUUUACUU